rfam:Pan troglodytes isolate Yerkes chimp pedigree #C0471 (Clint) chromosome 9, whole genome shotgun sequence.
GCCGGGUGUGGUGGUGCAUGCCUGUAAUCCCAGCUACUCAGGAGGCUGAGGCAGGAGAAUUGCUUGAACCCAAGAGGUGGAGGUUGCAGUGACCUGAGAUGGCACCACUGCACUCCAGCCUGGGUGACAGAGUGAGAUUCUGUCUCAA